rnacentral:rRNA from 1 species
CGUAGGUGGCAAGCGUUGUCCGGAUUUACUGGGCGUAAAGGGCGUGCAGGCGGUCUGUUAAGUUCAGGGUGAAAGCUCCCGGCUCAACUGGGAGAGGUCCUUGGAUACUGGCAGACUUGAGGGAGGUAGAGGAGAGUGGAAUUCCCGGUGUAGUGGUGAUAUGCGUAGAUAUCGGGAGGAACACCAGUGGCGAAGGCGGCUCUCUGGGCCUUUCCUGACGCUGAGACGCGAAAGCGUGGGGAGCGAACCGGAUUAGAUACCCGGGUAGUCCACGCCGUAAACUAUGAACACUAGGUGUGGGGGGUAUCGACCCCCUCCGUGCCGCAGCUAACGCAAUAAGUGUUCCGCCUGGGGAGUACGGCCGCAAGGCUA